rnacentral:rRNA from 1 species
GACGAACGCUGGCGGCGUGCCUAAUACAUGCAAGUAGAACGCUGAAGGAGGAGCUUGCUUCUCUGGAUGAGUUGCGGACGGGUGAGUAACGCGUAGGUAACCUGCCUGGUAGCGGGGGAUAACUAUUGGAAACGAUAGCUAAUACCGCAUAAGAGUAGAUGUUGCAUGACAUUUGCUUAAAAGGUGCAAUUGCAUCACUACCAGAUGGACCUGCGUUGUAUUAGCUAGUUGGUGGGGUAACGGCUCACCAAGGCGACGAUACAUAGCCGACCUGGGAGGGUGAUCAGCCACGCUGGGACUGAGACACGGCCCAGGCUCCUACAGGAGGCAGCAGUAGGGAAUCUUCAGCAAUGGACGGAAGUCUGACCGAGCAACGCCGCGUGAGUGAAGAAGGUUUUCGGAUCGUAAAACUCUGUUGUAAGAGAAGAACGGGUGUGAGAGUGGAAAGUUCACACUGUGACGGUAUCUUACCAGAAAGAGACGGCUAACUACGUG